rnacentral:snRNA from 13 species
ACACUUACCUGGAAGGGAAGAUACCAUGAUCAUGAAGGUGGUUUUCCCAGGGCGAGGCUUGUCUGUUGCACACUUCGAGAACCAUUUACUUGUAUUACUGCUAAAACAUCUGAAAUGUGUCUUUCCUGUUGC